GGAUUCUCCUAGUAACGGCGAGUGAACGGAGAUUAGCCCAGCACCGAAGCCUAUCCGCAUUUGUGGACAGGGCAAUGUGGUGUUUAGAUGUGUGCCUGAGGUUACCUGUCUACUCGAAGUCCAGCAUAGAUUAUGGCUCUGGAUAUUACCCAAAGCGGGUGAAAGGCCCGUUCGAGUAGACUUAAUGCAUCAAGGUAGCCUUUAGAUGCGCAUAUCUUGGAGUCGGAAUGUUUGAGAAUGCAUUCCAAAGUGGGUGGUAAACUCCAUCCAAGGCUAAAUACUGGCACGAGUCCGAUAGUAAACAAGUACCGUGAGGGAAAGUUGAAAAGUACUCUGAAGAGAGAGUAAAAAGUACGUGAAACUGCUUGUAUAGAAGCUGGUGGAGUCAAGCUGCGAGCAUAUGGAAUUAAGCUGGUGGCCGGCUAGAGAUUCGAGCGAGGAUUGCUUAGUCUUCUUGGAGAGAGUUGCGCAGAUUCGUCUGUGUCAUGUUCAAUCUGGGUUGAAUGAGUGAGCUAUGCUUGUACUCGCUGCCGCCGGUGUAUUUUCUGUAUUGCUGACAUCAUGAUCGAUAUUGCUUUGGUAUGUGGUAGUUAAACUGUGUGAUAGUUGGUAUCUUACCUUCUGCAUGCAGGACGGCAGGUGGCUUACAUUCGGACUUGUCUGGAUGUGAGCUUAUUGAAGGUACGCCUGGCCGAUUACCACGUUAGUAUUGCAUUGACCAUAAACGAUAUCGGUGUGUUACGCGUCUCUUUGGCGUGUCUUGCGUAUCAUGACGGUGUGCAUUACUAUGCAAAUAGUGUGUAUGCCUGAACUGGUCGUGGGAUGCGUUUGAUAGGAUGUGUUGUUAAUCA
rnacentral:rRNA from 1 species